rnacentral:rRNA from 1 species
AUUGAACGCUGGCGGCAUGCCUUACACAUGCAAGUCGAACGGCAGCACGGGAGCAAUCCUGGUGGCGAGUGGCGAACGGGUGAGUAAUAUAUCGGAACGUGCCCAGUCGUGGGGGAUAACGCAGCGAAAGCUGUGCUAAUACCGCAUACGAUCUACGGAUGAAAGCGGGGGAUCGCAAGACCUCGCGCGAUUGGAGCGGCCGAUAUCAGAUUAGCUAGUUGGUGGGGUAAAAGCCCACCAAGGCGACGAUCUGUAGCUGGUCUGAGAGGACGACCAGCCACACUGGAACUGAGACACGGUCCAGACUCCUACGGGAGGCAGCAGUGGGGAAUUUUGGACAAUGGGCGCAAGCCUGAUCCAGCAAUGCCGCGUGCAGGAUGAAGGCCUUCGGGUUGUAAACUGCUUUUGUACGGAGCGAAACGGCUUCCCCUAAUACGGGGAGCUAAUGACGGUACCGUAAGAAUAAGCACCGGCUAACUACGUGCCAGCAGCCGCGGUAAUACGUAGGGUGCGAGCGUUAAUCGGAAUUACUGGGCGUAAAGCGUGCGCAGGCGGUUAUAUAAGACAGAUGUGAAAUCCCCGGGCUCAACCUGGGACCUGCAUUUGUGACUGUAUAGCUAGAGUACGGUAGAGGGGGAUGGAAUUCCGCGUGUAGCAGUGAAAUGCGUAGAUAUGCGGAGGAACACCGAUGGCGAAGGCA